GGAUCGAUGAUGACACCCUCACAUGCAUUCCUUGGAAAAUCUGAAACAAAAUGAGUGAGAACUCACUACCGUCUCCUCAUCGAAACUGAGGUCC
rnacentral:snoRNA from 1 species